UACGUAGGGUGCAAGCGUUGUCCGGAAUUAUUGGGCGAAAGAGCUCGUAGGCGGUUUUGUCGCGUCUGCUGUGAAAAUCAGGGCUCAACCCUGGACCUGCAUUCGAUACGGGCAGACUAGAGUUCGGUAGGGGAGACUGGAAUUCCUGGUGUAGCGGUGAAAUGCGCAGAUAUCAGGAGGAACACCGGUGGCGAAGGCGGCGACCUGGUCCGUGACUGACGCUGAGGCGCGAAAGCGUGGGGAGCAAACAGG
rnacentral:rRNA from 1 species